CAGUCGGUCAUUAUGGUCUUUAAUAAGAUACAUUAGAAAGACAUAACCUGAUGCAUGAUUAACAGCCUCAUUCACUAACCUGCUCUUACCAACAAGCCCAUUAUCCCCGUGGAGAUGGAGACGUGCAUGCUGGGAAAGGAGCAUCCUGCAGCUUAGGGGAGGGGCUUCCAUCCACAGGUACCUUUGGAUACCUAGAUGACAUCAUUGACAAUUUUUGCUUCCAUUCAUUGCAUCAUUUAAUGUUACCACCCACUGCUUGCGCUUCAUAAUUUCAUAAUACGCAUUUCACGCAACUUACAGCAGUUUUUAUACGGGUCUGGUAUUUUUUAAUCCUGAUGAUGGCACGAUGGAUGGCUUGUCUUCCCAGACGCUGAUGACAAAAGGAGCAGUGCUGCAGAUAGAAGCUCUAUCAGAAGGCAUAAACCACCUCACACACUUACUGAGCCGAGACGAGCUGCUGAGAGGAAUGAGACGCAGCCACACCGCCAUAGUGUGAACAAGCUAACACCGCUAGCAACCCCCCGAGCCUAACCCAGCGCACCUCCACCCCCAGCGGAGAGCCCCCAGCACCGGGACCGAGCUCCUCCACCCGCCCCGGAGAACUCAAGCACAAAUCUGAUGGAUCUGCCAACCACAGCGCUUCACCCUCAUGUUUACUGUGGAGUGAAGCCUAUUUUUAUAAGAUGACUAGCUUAUGUGUUUUACAAUCAACUUUAAGUGUAAAGUGGUUACAAUAGUUAUAGAUAAUAUUUUAAAAAGCCUGAAAUGUAUAUUUUCUUAAAUAUAGUGCAUUUUUGUCUUGGGUUAAGCAAUUUAGAUAAAUUAAAACAGCUAGCUAAUAGAUUAAUACAUUCAUUUUAGUCAUAAUCCUGACAAAUACCUCACUUACAGUGGUUUGCAAAAUAAUUCAUACCCCUUGAACCUUUUUUUUUACGUUUUGUCAUUUUGCUGCCAUCCCCACUGUGAAGCAUGGUGGUGGCAGCAUCAUGCAGAAGGGAUGCUUUUUUUUUCAACAGGACAGGGAAGCUGGUCAGUGUUGAUGGGAAGAUGGAUGGAGAUAAAUAAAAGACAAUUCUGGAAAAAAACUUGUUGGAGG
rnacentral:lncRNA from 1 species